rnacentral:rRNA from 1 species
AGGACGAACGCUGGCGGCGUGCUUAACACAUGCAAGUCGAACGGUGAACUCCGCUUGCGGGGGGAUCAGUGGCGAACGGGUGAGUAACACGUGGGCAACCUGCCCUCAGCUCUGGGAUAACUCCAAGAAAUUGGGGCUAAUACUGGAUAUGACCGCUGACCGCAUGGUCUGGUGGUGGAAAGAUUUAUCGGCUGGGGAUGGGCCCGCGGCCUAUCAGCUUGUUGGUGGGGUAGUGGCCUACCAAGGCGACGACGGGUAGCCGGCCUGAGAGGGUGACCGGCCACACUGGGACUGAGACACGGCCCAGACUCCUACGGGAGGCAGCAGUGGGGAAUAUUGCGCAAUGGGCGAAAGCCUGACGCAGCGACGCCGCGUGGGGAUGACGGCCUUCGGUGUAACCUCUUUCAACAGGACGAAGCGAAAGUGACGGUACCUGCAGAAGAAGCACCGGCCAACUACGUGCCAGCAGCCGCGU